GACGAACGCUGGCGGCGUGCCUAAUACAUGCAAGUUGAGCGCUGAAGGUUGGUACUUGUACCAACUGGAUGAGCAGCGAACGGGUGAGUAACGCGUGGGGAAUCUGCCUUUGAGCGGGGGACAACAUUUGGAAACGAAUGCUAAUACCGCAUAAAAACUUUAAACACAAGUUUUAAGUUUGAAAGAUGCAAUUGCAUCACUCAAAGAUGAUCCCGCGUUGUAUUAGCUAGUUGGUGAGGUAAAGGCUCACCAAGGCGAUGAUACAUAGCCGACCUGAGAGGGUGAUAGGCCACAUUGGGACUGAGACACGGCCCAAACUCCGACUGGAGGCAGCAGUAGGGAAUCUUCGGCAAUGGACGAAAGUCUGACCGAGCAACGCCGCGUGAGGGAAGAAGGUUUUCGGAUAGUAAAACUCUGUUGGUAGAGAAGAACGUUGGUGAGAGUGGAAAGCUCAUCAAGUGACGGUAACUACCCAGAAAGGGACGGCUAACUACGUG
rnacentral:rRNA from 1 species